AUGAACUGCAGUCACACUAAGGGUGGAGGCUACUACCAGAUGUACUGGUACCGACAGCUGCCAGGACAGAACAUGGAGCAGAUGGUGUUCACGACUACUUCUAAUUCUGACUUUGAACCAGACUUCAGAAACGACAGGUCUCCACCACCAAACCUGACGCUGACAGUGGAACGUUGACGGUGCAGAACCUGGAGUACGCAGAUACAGGCGUGUACUUCUGUUCUGUUCACUUGUGUUUCUACAGCCUCCAGAACAUGGACCAGGUCCAACACACCGUCCUCAUCCUGGUUUUAGCUCUACUCUGCUUCAAAGGUUUUACAGAAGGGAACGAUGUAAAGCAGACUCGGAUUCUGUGGAAAGAGAUGGGACAAACAGCCACCAUGAACUGCAGUCACACUAAGGGUGGAAGCUACUACCAGAUGUACUGGUACCGACAGCUGCCAGGACAGAACAUGGAGCAGAUGGUGUUCACAAUGACUACUUCUAAACCCGACUUUGAACCAGACUUCAGAAACGACAGGUUCUCCACCACCAAACCUGACGCUGACAGUGGAACGUUGACGGUGCAGAACCUGGAGUACGCAGAUACAGGCGUGUACUUCUGUUCUGUGAGUCAACACAGUGACACAGACUGAAGGGGAGGCUCAACAAAAACCUACAAAGCACAUUGUGUUCAUCUAAUACACACAC